UCGCCUCUACCUCUUUGAAUUUGUUAGUCGAUGCUGCUACCACGUCGGUACUCCACAGCCUGUUUUUUUUAUUUUAACAAUGGUGAAUAAGUACAAGCUCACAACAAAACGCACUGUUCAUAUAACAAAUGGAUUUGAGGCUUGUAUUCUGUCAGGAGGUCAUGCAGGACACGUGGGGUGACAGUCAUGCCUCCAGUGUGGCCCACUGAUGAUGGAUAAAGCCAGACUCAGCUGAAACAACUUGCGCUGCCACAGGAGAUGUGAAGGCCAGGAGAAUGCAGCUGUUUAUGCGAAAACUUUUCCAAGUGGAGCUGUCAUGCAGCACACUGUGCUACUAACUCAACCAGCCGCCUGAAGUAUCAGUUUCUCCAGGUUGCCUUGGCGCUUUAAGAUUCUUCUGAAAGACACUGGUCAGUUUCCAAGGAUGCUGCAGCAGCCAAGACUUUUGACGUGCUCUCGGUUGCAUUGGUGCUUUAAGAGUCUUCUGGAAGACACUGGUUAAAGGGAUACUUCACCUGGUGAAACAUGAAUCUGGAUUGAAAUUGGGUCAUAUGUAGUAAUGGGAAAUACUUUUUUGAAGUUGGUGCCUUCUUGGCUGAGAAAAGGCAGAAAGUCUCUUUUGGGCUGAUGUGGAUGAAAGACAACAACUCCCAGAAUGCACAGCCCCCGCCUCAGGGGAAAAUGAGGGCACAAUGCACCGCCAUUCAAAAAUACUACCAGGUUUCUAAUGACACAAAGCUUAAUGUAAAUUGGUGAAGUAUCCCAUUAAUCUGCGAGGAUGCUGCUGCAGCCCAGACUUCUGACACAUCUGUGGUGUCACUCUGCCAGUUGAAGGCAGUCUUCAGAGGUCUGACAUCAACAGGUUGCCUUGGCAUUUUAAGAUUCUUCUGAAAGACACUGGUCAGUUUCCAAGGAGGAUGCUGCAGCAGCCAAGACUUUUGACAUGCUCUCGUAUUGAAUGGAGUAGUUGCAGUAACUCGCCUUGGUAUUCCUGCAAGCUGAAUGUGAUAUCAAGAGUGGACAUGACAACUGCUGUGAAGAUGGAUGGAUGACACAUGUUUGAAAAAACAUUUUGAGGAGAUGGAUUUGUGUUAUCACAAUAAAUGUCAUAAAAAGACUGA